rnacentral:tRNA from 1 species
UCUAUUGACUUCUUAAAAAUCAGACUGCAAACCUGAUAAAGCACUAGUG